GACGAACGCUGGCGGCGUGCUUAACACAUGCAAGUCGAACGGAAAGACCCUGCGUUCGUGGGGUGCUCGAGUGGCGAACGGGUGAGUAACACGUGAGUAACCUGCCCCUGACUUUGGGAUAACUUCAGGAAACUGGGGCUAAUACCGGAUAGGAGAUCCUGCUGCAUGGUGGGCGUUGGAAAGUUUCUGCGGUUGGGGAUGGACUCGCGGCUUAUCAGCUUGUUGGUGGGGUAGUGGCUUACCAAGGCUUUGACGGGUAGCCGGCCUGAGAGGGUGACCGGCGUCAUUGGGCCUGAGAUACGGCGCAGACUCGUACGGGAGGCAGCAGUGGGGAAUAUUGCACAAUGGGAGGACGCCUGAUGCAGAGGCGCCGCGUUCGUAAAGCCCGCCUUUGGGUAGUGAACAGCUUUCGCCUGUGACGAAGCGUGAGUGACGGUAAUGGGUAAAGAAGCACCGGCUAACUACGUG
rnacentral:rRNA from 1 species